rnacentral:rRNA from 1 species
CAAUAGCGUAUAUUAAAGUUGUUGCAGUUAAAAAGCUCGUGGUUGGAUUUCUGGCAGGAGCGACCGGUCACACACUCUGUGUGUGAACUUGCGUUGUCUCUGGCCAUCCUUGGGAAGAUCCUGUUUGGCAUUAAGUUGUCGGGCAGGGGAUACCCAUCGUUUACUGUGAAAAAAUUAGAGUGUUUAAAGCAGGCUUAUGCCGUUGAAUAUAUUAGCAUGGAAUAAUAAGAUAGGACUUCGGAACUAUUUUGUUGGUUUGCGUUACGAAGUAAUGAUUAAUAGGGACAGUUGGGGGUAUUCGUAUCUCGUUGUCAGAGGUGAAAUUCUUGGAUUUCCGAAAGACGAACUACUGCGAAAGCAUUUACCAAGGAUGUUUUCAUUAA